CCCUGCUUCCAGGAAAAGCCUCUAAGCCUCAGGUAACAUCAAAUCGUACCCCAAACCGACACAGGUGGUCAGGUAGAGAAUACCAAGGCGCUUGAGAGAACUCGGGUGAAGGAACUAGGCAAAAUGGUGCCGUAACUUCGGGAGAAGGCACGCUGACACGUAGGUGAAGUGGUUUACCCAUGGAGCUGAAGUCAGUCGAAGAUACCAGCUGGCUGCAACUGUUUAUUAAAAACACAGCACUGUGCAAACACGAAAGUGGACGUAUACGGUGUGACGCCUGCCCGGUGCCGGAAGGUUAAUUGAUGGGGUCAGCGCAAGCGAAGCUCCUGAUCGAAGCCCCGGUAAACGGCGGCCGUAACUAUAACGGUCCUAAGGUAGCGAAAUUCCUUGUCGGGUAAGUUCCGACCUGCACGAAUGGCGUAAUGAUGGCCAGGCUGUCUCCACCCGGGACUCAGUGAAAUUGAACUCGCUGUGAAGAUGCAGUGUACCCGCGGCAAGACGGAAAGACCCCGUGAACCUUUACUAUAGCUUGACACUGAACACUGGUCCUUGAUGUGCAGGAUAGGUGGGAGGCUUUGAAGUGUGGACGCCAGUCUGCAUGGAGCCAUCCUUGAAAUACCACCCUUUAAUGGCUGGUGUUCUAACGUGGGCCCGUGAACCGGGUUGCGGACAGUGUCUGGUGGGUAGUUUGACUGGGGCGGUCUCCUCCUAAAGAGUAACGGAGGAGCACGAAGGUUGGCUAAUCCUGGUCGGACAUCAGGAGGUUAGUGCAAUGGCAUAAGCCAGCUUGACUGCGAGCGUGACGGCGCGAGCAGGUGCGAAAGCAGGUCAUAGUGAUCCGGUGGUUCUGAAUGGAAGGGCCAUCGCUCAACGGAUAAAAGGUACUCCGGGGAUAACAGGCUGAUACCGCCCAAGAGUUCAUAUCGACGGCGGUGUUUGGCACCUCGAUGUCGGCUCAUCACAUCCUGGGGCUGAAGUAGGUCCCAAGGGUAUGGCUGUUCGCCAUUUAAAGUGGUACGCGAGCUGGGUUUAGAACGUCGUGAGACAGUUCGGUCCCUAUCUGCCGUGGGCGCUGGAAGAUUGAGGGGGGCUGCUCCUAGUACGAGAGGACCGGAGUGGACGCAUCACUGGUGUUCGGGUUGUCAUGCCAAUGGCACUGCCCGGUAGCUACAUGCGGAAGAGAUAAGUGCUGAAAGCAUCUAAGCACGAAACUUGCCCCGAGAUGAAUCUUCCCUGAGCCUUUAAGGCUCCUGAAGGAACGUUGAAGACGACGACGUUGAUAGGCCGGGUGUGUAAGCGCAGCGAUGCGUUGAGCUAACCGGUACUAAUGAACCGUGAGGCUUAACCUUACAAC
rnacentral:rRNA from 3 species